GCGGGAGCCGGGGCUGCGCACGCGGGAAAAGAUCCUGAUCCCGGAGCCCCCUCCCCCGCCCCCUGUGCGCGCCCGAGUCCACCAGUGUCCGUGUCCAUGCCCCCUGGAGGAACCUGGGGUUGAGGAGCUUUUUCUUUGUCUCCAGAUCCCACUAGACUUCUGUUGCCACAUUCACCUCUUUGGAACCAGCAUCUCCCUCAAACUUCCUACUUAGUUUCCCACUGCCUAGUGCUUGGGCCAGCGGGGGCCAAGUCAGCAUGGCAGAGACUUUGGAAUUCAAUGAUAUCUACCAGGAGGUGAAAGGUUCUAUGAAUGAUGGUCGUCUUCGGUUGAGCCGACAAGGAAUAAUCUUCAAGAAUAGUAAGACAGGCAAAGUGGACAACAUUCAGGCCGGGGAACUGACUGAAGGUAUCUGGCGACGAGUAGCUCUGGGUCAUGGCCUCAAGCUUCUUACUAAGAAUG